GUUUGUUCCUGAAGGCACACUAAAACUGGAACGAUAAGGGGAAGAUUAGCAUUGCUCCUAUGCAAGCAUGGCAUGCAAAUUCUCGAACAGCUCCAAAAAUAU
rnacentral:snRNA from 1 species